CCCAAGCCCACAUCAGCGUUGCCCUGGAACCUACAAGAAACACCUGCUCACCACUCAUCACGAGCUGAGUGGCCACACCUGCAGCUCGUCAGCUCCGCUGCAUUUAAGCUGCAGGUUCAGAAGGAACAAGGAGGCCCCCUGGAGAAGACGUAAGGCUAAACCCUCUUGUGUGCCCUUGUCUCUCUAGGAAGCAGCGAGUGACCCGGCGGAACCCCUGGAGCACUGCACCGACUCCCCACGAGCGGAUUCACCACGAGCACCAGGGUCCGCAGAACCUCGCAGCUGGACCUCUCCUAAUUAAACGCCCCCUAGGCAGCCACUCCUUUCCCGGCGACAUGGAUGAAGUCAUUGCACGCCUAACGGAGAUCAGCAUGCGCCAGCAACAGAUAACUGAACAUCUGGCGACGCGACAAGGGCAAACUGAACAAGAGUUAAAUGAACUGCGCACGGCUGCUGCACGACAUGUCCCACUACCUGAUCCCAGAAUGAAGGUGACCCAGCUGUUGCCGAAGUUGACAGCUGAUGACGAUGUGGAAUCCUUUCUCCAAAUGUUCGAGAAUACCGCAACCCAGGAGGGCUGGGACCCUGGUGACUGGGCACGCUUGGUCGCACCCUCCUCACGGGGGAAGCCCAGCGGGCAUACUUCAUGCUGCCAACUGAACGGGUAGACGACUACAAGGAGCUAAAAAGGGAAAUCCUGGCUCGGCUGGGCCUCUCACCAGUCUGCGCUGCACAGUAUUUCCAUGACUGGGAGUAUAGGCCCCGCCUCCCUGCCCGGGCCCAGGCCGCAGAAUUAUCGCGUCUCGCGCAGCAUUGGCUGCUGGAAGGAGAUCCCACAGCCGCCCUUGUGACAGAGCGUGUUGUCGUCGAUCGGUUCCUCCGUGCCCUCCCGAGAUCCCCUCGUCAAGCCGUCGGUAUGCGGAACCCUAGCACGAUUACUGAGCUUGUCGAAGCUGUGGAACUGGCGGAGGCUGUCCAACACCAGGGUGCUGGAGAACGAGCUCCGCCGUUUCCCCGGAGGGUGAUCCAGGAGCGACGCAGGCCAGAGGGCAACCCGCGGUCUGAAGGCAGGCCGGGGC
ensembl:lncRNA